UACGAAGGGGGCUAGCGUUGUUCGGAAUUACUGGGCGUAAAGCGCGCGCAGGCGGUCUUCCAAGUCAGUGGUGAAAGCCCGGAGCUCAACUCCGGAACUGCCAUUGAAACUGUUGGACUUGAGUAUGAGAGAGGUGAGUGGAAUUCCCAGUGUAGAGGUGAAAUUCGUAGAUAUUGGGAAGAACACCGGUGGCGAAGGCGGCUCACUGGCUCAUUACUGACGCUCAGGCGCGACAGCGUGGGGAUCAAACAGG
rnacentral:rRNA from 2 species